rnacentral:rRNA from 1 species
CCCGCUGAACUUAAGCAUAUCAAUAAGCGGAGGAAAAGAAACCAACAGGGAUUGCCUCAGUAACGGCGAGUGAAGCGGCAACAGCUCAAAUUUGAAAUCUGGCUCUCUUAGGGCCCGAAUUGUAAUUUGUAGAGGAUGUUUCGGCGUUGGCUCCGGUCUAAGUUCCUUGGAACAGGACGUCACAGAGGGUGAGAAUCCCGUAUGUGAUCGGUUGCCUUUGCCAUGUGAAACUCCUUCGACGAGUCGAGUUGUUUGGGAAUGCAGCUCUAAAUGGGUGGUAAAUUCCAUCUAAAGCUAAAUAUUGGCGAGAGACCGAUAGCGAACAAGUACAGUGAUGGAAAGAUGAAAAGAACUUUGAAAAGAGAGUGAAAAAGUACGUGAAAUUGUUGAAAGGGAAGGGCUUGAAAUCAGACUUGGUAUUCAAUGAUCAAUUUUCUUUCGGGGAGAUGCACUCGUUGUUUACUGGGCCAACAUCGAUUUAGACGGUGAGAUAAUGACAGUUGAAUGUGGCUUGCUUCGGUAAGUGUUAUAGCUUCUGUUGAUAUCAUCAGUUUAGAUCGAGGACUGCGCAUUUUUGCUAGGAUGUUGGCGUAAUGAUUUUAAGCCACCCGUCUUGAAACACGG